CGAUACAUUGAGCUAACCGAUACUAAUGAACCGUGAGGCUUAACCUUACAACGCCGAAG
rnacentral:rRNA from 1 species